rnacentral:rRNA from 1 species
AAUGGGCCACAAGCCUGAUCCAGCAAUUCUGUGUGCACGAUGAAGGUCUUCGGAUUGUAAAGUGCUUUCAGUAGGGAAGAAAAAAAUGACGGUACCUACAGAAGAAGCGACGGCUAAAUAUGUGCCAGCAGCCGCGGUAAUACAUAUGUCGCAAGCGUUAUCCGGAUUUAUUGGGCGUAAAGCGCGUCUAGGCGGUUUACUAAGUCUGAUGUGAAAAUGCGGGGCUCAACUCCGUAUUGCGUUGGAAACUGGUAGACUAGAGUACUGGAGAGGUGGGCGGAACUACAAGUGUAGAGGUGGAAUUCGUAGAUAUUUGUAGGAAUGCCGAUGGAGAAGUCAGCUCACUGGACAGAUACUGACGCUAAAGCGCGAAAGCGUGGGGAGCAAA